rnacentral:rRNA from 1 species
GACGAACGCUGGCGGCGGGCUUAACACAUGCAAGUCGAGCGGAAAGGCCCUGCUGUGGUGGGGUGCUCGAGUGGCGAACGGGAGAGUAACACGAGAUUAACCUGACCUGGACUUUGGGAUAACUUCAGGAAACUGGUGCUAAUACCGGAUAGGAGCUCCUGUUGCAUGGUGGUUGUUGGAGAGUUUGGGCGGCUUGGGAUGGACUCGCGGGUUAUCAGCUUGUUGGUGGGGUAGUGGCUUACCAAGGAUUUGAAGGGUAGCCGGCCCGAGAGGGUGACCGGGCACGUUGCGACAGAGAUACGGCCGAGAGUCGUACGGGAGGCAGCAGUGGGGAAUAUUGCCCAAUGGACGGAAGCCUGAUGCAGCAACGCCGCGUUCGGGAUGAUGGCCUUCGGGUUGUAAACCGCUUUCGCCUGUGACGAAGCGUGAGUGACGGUAAUGGGUAAAGAAGCACCGGCUAACUACGUG